AAACCAAAAACAAAAAACAUUUGGUCUACUGAGGCUUAACGUGUAUUGUAUUUGUUGAAUUUUUUUUUUUUUUUUGGUUGUUGUCGUUGUUGUUU
rnacentral:ribozyme from 1 species